GUUAAGUUGCAGGGUAUAGACCCGAAACCCGGUGAUCUAGCCAUGGGCAGGUUGAAGGUUGGGUAACACUAACUGGAGGACCGAACCGACUAAUGUUGAAAAAUUAGCGGAUGACUUGUGGCUGGGGGUGAAAGGCCAAUCAAACCGGGAGAUAGCUGGUUCUCCCCGAAAGCUAUUUAGGUAGCGCCUCGUGAAUUCAUCUCCGGGGGUAGAGCACUGUUUCGGCAAGGGGGUCAUCCCGACUUACCAACCCGAUGCAAACUGCGAAUACCGGAGAAUGUUAUCACGGGAGACACACGGCGGGUGCUAACGUCCGUCGUGAAGAGGGAAACAACCCAGACCGCCAGCUAAGGUCCCAAAGUCAUGGUUAAGUGGGAAACGAUGUGGGAAGGCCCAGACAGCCAGGAUGUUGGCUUAGAAGCAGCCAUCAUUUAAAGAAAGCGUAAUAGCUCACUGGUCGAGUCGGCCUGCGCGGAAGAUGUAACGGGGCUAAACCAUGCACCGAAGCUGCGGCAGCGACGCUGAUGCGUUGUUGGGUAGGGGAGCGUUCUGUAAGCCUGUGAAGGUGUGCUGUGAGGCAUGCUGGAGGUAUCAGAAGUGCGAAUGCUGACAUAAGUAACGAUAAAGCGGGUGAAAAGCCCGCUCGCCGGAAGACCAAGGGUUCCUGUCCAACGUUAAUCGGGGCAGGGUGAGUCGACCCCUAAGGCGAGGCCGAAAGGCGUAGUCGAUGGGAAACAGGUUAAUAUUCCUGUACUUGGUGUUACUGCGAAGGGGGGACGGAGAAGGCUAUGUUGGCCGGGCGACGGUUGUCCCGGUUUAAGCGUGUAGGCUGGUUUUCCAGGCAAAUCCGGAAAACUAAGGCUGAGGCGUGAUGACGAGGCACUACGGUGCUGAAGCAACAAAUGCCCUGCUUCCAGGAAAAGCCUCUAAGCAUCAGGUAACAUCAAAUCGUACCCCAAACCGACACAGGUGGUCAGGUAGAGAAUACCAAGGCGCUUGAGAGAACUCGGGUGAAGGAACUAGGCAAAAUGGUGCCGUAACUUCGGGAGAAGGCACGCUGAUAUGUAGGUGAAGUCCCUCGCGGAUGGAGCUGAAAUCAGUCGAAGAUACCAGCUGGCUGCAACUGUUUAUUAAAAACACAGCACUGUGCAAACACGAAAGUGGACGUAUACGGUGUGACGCCUGCCCGGUGCCGGAAGGUUAAUUGAUGGGGUCAGCGCAAGCGAAGCUCUUGAUCGAAGCCCCGGUAAACGGCGGCCGUAACUAUAACGGUCCUAAGGUAGCGAAAUUCCUUGUCGGGUAAGUUCCGACCUGCACGAAUGGCGUAAUGAUGGCCAGGCUGUCUCCACCCGAGACUCAGUGAAAUUGAACUCGCUGUGAAGAUGCAGUGUACCCGCGGCAAGACGGAAAGACCCCGUGAACCUUUACUAUAGCUUGACACUGAACAUUGAGCCUUGAUGUGUAGGAUAGGUGGGAGGCUUUGAAGUGUGGACGCCAGUCUGCAUGGAGCCGACCUUGAAAUACCACCCUUUAAUGUUUGAUGUUCUAACGUUGACCCGUAAUCCGGGUUGCGGACAGUGUCUGGUGGGUAGUUUGACUGGGGCGGUCUCCUCCUAAAGAGUAACGGAGGAGCACGAAGGUUGGCUAAUCCUGGUCGGACAUCAGGAGGUUAGUGCAAUGGCAUAAGCCAGCUUGACUGCGAGCGUGACGGCGCGAGCAGGUGCGAAAGCAGGUCAUAGUGAUCCGGUGGUUCUGAAUGGAAGGGCCAUCGCUCAACGGAUAAAAGGUACUCCGGGGAUAACAGGCUGAUACCGCCCAAGAGUUCAUAUCGACGGCGGUGUUUGGCACCUCGAUGUCGGCUCAUCACAUCCUGGGGCUGAAGUAGGUCCCAAGGGUAUGGCUGUUCGCCAUUUAAAGUGGUACGCGAGCUGGGUUUAGAACGUCGUGAGACAGUUCGGUCCCUAUCUGCCGUGGGCGCUGGAGAACUGAGGGGGGCUGCUCCUAGUACGAGAGGACCGGAGUGGACGCAUCACUGGUGUUC
rnacentral:rRNA from 1 species